GCUCCAAACCGGAAUGAUCUGGUUUGGAGCGGCUGGCUCCCCCUUCUCUGCGCCCCCUCCCGCCGGGAGCCCAGCCUCUCCCGCGACAGGCUGCUAGCAGCCGCAGUCCCUGUCCAAGGUUUCCCCUCCUGGCUCCUCUCUUCUCAGCACCCCCCCCCCCCCCGAACUUCCCGUCAAGAACACAAGGGGUCUUUCUUCACACUGGAGCUUGAAAUGAGGAGGUGAGGAGACAGCGUUUUCCCGGUAUACCAGAAAGCCCAGCCUUCAGGAUUACAAGGCGGGGCAGAGAGAAAUGGAGAGAGGAGGGGAAGACAAAGAGGAGGAGAGACAGACACCCGCAGACCUGCUUUAUCGCCUGUGAAGCAACUCCCCUGCAGGGCUCCAACCAGGAUCCUUAUGCUGGUCCUUGCUCUUCACACCACGUGCGCUUAAUCCACUGUGCUACCGCCCGACUCUCAAGUUCAUGUUAUUGGUUUUUUGUUGUUUUUUUUUUGCCUCCAGGGUUAUUGCUGGGCCUCAGUGCCUGCACCAUGAAUUCACUGCUCCUGGAGGCCAUUUUU